CCUACGGGUGGCAGCAGUGAGGAAUAUUGGUCAAUGGGCGUAAGCCUGAACCAGCCAAGUCGCGUGAGGGAUGAAGGUUCUAUGGAUCGUAAACCUCUUUUAUAAGGGUAUAAAGUGUGGGACGUGUCCUUUUUUGUAUGUACCUUAUGAAUAAGGAUCGGCUAACUCCGUGCCAGCAGCCGCGGUAAUACGGAGGAUCCGAGCGUUAUCCGGAUUUAUUGGGUUUAAAGGGUGCGUAGAUGGGUUUUUAAGUCAGCGGUGAAAGUUGGGGGCUCAACCAUAAAAUUGCAGUUGAAACUGGGAGGCUUGAGUAUGUUUGAGGCAGGCGGAAUGCGUGGUGUAGCGGUGAAAUGCUUAGAUAUCACGCAGAACCCCGAUUGCGAAGGCAGCUUGCCAAGCCAUGACUGACGCUGAUGCACGAAAGCGUGGGGAUCAAACAGGAUUAGAUACCCCGGUAGUC
rnacentral:rRNA from 1 species